AUAUUUUUAGUUUAUUUAAAAUAUCAAAUUGCAAAUUUGAAGAAAUUUUUUUAAAGAAAAAUAAAAUAUU
rnacentral:tRNA from 1 species